rnacentral:rRNA from 1 species
AUUGAACGCUGGCGGCAGGCUUAACACAUGCAAGUCGAGCGAGUGGCGGACGGGUGAGUAAUGUCUGGGAAACUGCCUGAUGGAGGGGGAUAACUACUGGAAACGGUAGCUAAUACCGCAUACCAUCAGAUGUGCCCAGAUGGGGUUAGCUGUUUGGUGGGGUAAUGGCUCACCAAGGCGACGAUCCCUAGCUGGUCUGAGAGGAUGACCAGCCACACUGGAACUGAGACACGGUCCAUACUCCUACGGGAGGCAGCAGUGGGGAAUAUUGCACAAUGGGCGCAAGCCUGAUGCAGCCAUGCCGCGUGUAUGAAGAAGGCCUUCGGGUUGUAAAGUACUUUCAGCGGGGAGGCGUUAAACGAAGAAGAAGCACCGGCUAACUCCGUGCCAGCAGCCGCGGUAAUUG